AGAGUUUGAUCAUGGCUCAGGAUGAACGCUAGCGGCAGGCUUAACACAUGCAAGUCGAGGGGUAACAGGGCUUCGGCCGCUGACGACCGGCAAACGGGUGCGGAACACGUACGCAACAUACCUUUAUCUGGGGCAUAGCCCGGUGAAAACCGGAUUAACUCCCCAUAAGAUUAUAGAGUGGCAUCACUUAGUAAUUAAAAAUUCAUUGGAUAGAGAUUGGCGUGCGUCCUAUUAGCUAGUUGGCGGGGUAAAGGCCCACCAAGGCGACGAUAGGUAGCUGAUGUGAGAGCAUGAUCAGCCACACGGGCACUGAGACACGGGCCCGACUCCUACGGGAGGCAGCAGUGAGGAAUAUUGGUCAAUGGACGCAAGUCUGAACCAGCCAUGCCGCGUGAAGGAUGAAGGCGUUCUGCGUUGUAAACUUCUUUUAUUGGGGAAGAAACCUGAGAUUUCUAUUUCAGCCGACGGUACCCAAGGAAUAAGCACCGGCUAACUCCGUGCCAGCAGCCGCGGUAAUACGGAGGGUGCAAGCGUUAUCCGGAUUUACUGGGUUUAAAGGGUGUGUAGGCGGACUUUUAAGUCAGGGGUGAAAUCCCGAGGCUCAACCUCGGAACUGCCUUUGAUACUAUUGGUCUUGAAUCUUGUUGAGGUGGGCGGAACGGGUCAUGUAGCGGUGAAAUGCAUAGAUAUGACCCGGAAC
rnacentral:rRNA from 1 species